AUUAAAACCAUCAAAGGCUAAAAUUGCAUUGUUAUUAACCGCUGCAAUCCAGUACACUACGCCAGUGUUUUGGUUCUCCUCCAUCGGCGUCCAUCCCAGUUGUUAGUAGCAGCAGACUUUCAGCGGUUGGGUUUAGUUUAUUGUUAUAAUGCCUGCGUUAUCCAGUGGGGUCCGCAGGGAAGCGAUCAAAAGCUAUCCUCAACCCGUCUUUCUCGGUCGGCGCUACCGUCGCCGAGUUCGCACUCGACGACUUUCCAGCAGGAACUUACAGAGAAAGAGAUAUUAGGAAGUGUGAGCUUAGUGAAUCUGAGCUGCAUGCUCACCAUAGCCACCAAACGGUGAAUACAUGCUCUCUAGAGAUCACUUUUUGUCAAUCGGAGACAACGGCGACGUAUAAACUUGCUUCCAUACGACCACCAACCGAAAUAUUUAUAUAUCCGUGGGUUUUUUUGCCAUUCCAUCGACGUGUUGAUUUAGCUAAGACCAUCGAACAAAGCUAAUCGCAAAGCGCAAACGCAGAUGAAGUAUCUACUUGGGAGUGAUGUAAACGACAUAUCAGAAAAGAGGCUAUUAUCAAGAUAAAAAAGGCCUCGCGUCAAAUCUAUUAAUCAGCCCAUUGAAGACGUAAACGAACCUACAGUGCCGUCACGCUCUUUGUUGCUCUGACAUUGGUUAUCGUUUUCUUCCGAUGUUAACGAAAACUAAGCAAUAGACUCCUAUGGAAACGAAAAGAUAUGGCUAUGUGAUACACGUGGAU